GUGUGACGUCACAUCCUGCUGCCUGCCACUAGUGUCACACGUGAAAUCCUACUCACACACACACACAUUGCGCUGCCUGCUAGCGUCGUCUCGCGUCUGUUUCCUCGCCUGCUCCUGGGAGAGGCAUGGAUUGGAAUGAUCUUGGGGCCAUGAAACGGACAUGGAUGGAGGCUGCAGUGAUGACCGAAGUGUGUGUGACAGCAGCAUGCGCCUAGCCGCAGCAGGCAGCACGAGACGUCAUUGGGCAGCAGUGAGCAGCAGCGCAGCAAGUUGUGCCUGGUCGCAGCAAGUCGCGCCUGGUCGCAGCAUUUGGCAUCCUGAGAAGGUAACGGAUGACAGACACAGGACUGACGUGAAGACCUGAGGAUGUGCGUGACGAGAUGGACCCGGCUGAGUCCAGCUGCACACACGGAUACAAUUGAUAAGCUCUUGAGGAAGGCCUGGAAUAACCUUGGAGGUGGCAGAGAUGACUGGAGAGCUCAGAGUGUCAGGUAAAACAAACAUCAUCUCCAGCCUCUAUGCAUCGAAAGAUAAGGGAGGAAAAGGCCAUCUUGCUCUCAGCUGUGGAAAAGUGUAACAACAAGAAGAAUGAUUGACAGCAUCCUGAAACAUGGGUGGUGUGCUACGUAUCCAUGUUUUCUGGAAACACUGUACAUGUGGUAGAAGAUGGCUGUCGUCGUGGGUGCUGAACAAAAAUAAAAUCCACUAUGCUUUGUUUUUAGUUUGCCGCUUCAUGGUUAACUAUUUUACUCUUUAAAAAAAUAAAGCAACACAGACAC